GGGAUUGCCUCAGUAACGGCGAGCGAAGCGGCAAGUGCUCAGAUUUGAAUCUGGCUCCUCUGGGGCCCGAGUUGUAAUCUGUAGGGGAUGCUUCGGAGUCGAACCCGGCCUAAGUUCCUUGGAACAGGACGUCGCAGAGGGUGAGAAUCCCGUAUGCGGCCGGUGGGCGUCUCCGUGCGAAGCUCCUCCGACGAGUCGAGUUGUUUGGGAAUGCAGCUCUAAAUGGGAGGUAAAUUUCUUCUAAAGCUAAAUACCGGCCAGAGACCGAUAGCGCACAAGUAGAGUGAUCGAAAGAUGAAAAGCACUUUGGAAAGAGAGUUAAAAAGUACGUGAAAUUGUUGAAAGGGAAGCGCUUGCAACCAGACUCGGCCGCUUCGGUUCAACCCUACCCGUGUAGGGCUUACUCCGUUGCGGUCGGGCCAGCAUCGGUUUGGGCGGUCGUUUAAAGGCGUUGGGAAUGUAGCUCCUCUCGGGGAGUGUUAUAGCCCUUCGUGCAAUGCGGCCUGCCUGGACCGAGGACCGCGCUUCGGCAAGAUGCGGCAAUGGUUGUAAGCGGCCCGUCUUGAAACACGGACCAAGGAGUCUAACAUCUAUGCGAACGUUUGGGUGUCAACCCCCUACGCGCAAUGAAAGUGAACGGAGGUCGGAGCCCUCGGGCGCACGAUCGACCGAUCCUGAUGUCUUCGGAUGGAUUUGAGUAAGAGCAUAAAUGUUGGGACCCGAAAGAUGUGCGAACUAUGCUUGAGUAGGCCGAAGCCAGCGGAAACGCUGGUGGAGGGUCGCAGCGGUUCUGACGUGCAAAUCGAUCGUCAAACUUGAGUAUAGGGGCGAAAGACUAAUCGAGCCAUCUAGUAGCUGGUUCCUGCCGAAGUUUCCCUUAGGAUAGCAGUAACGUUUUCAGUUUUAUGAGGUAAAGCGAAUGAUUAGAGGCCUGGGGGUUGAAACAACCUUCACCUAUUCUCAAACUUUAAAUAUGUAAGAAGCCCUUGUUGCUUAGUGAACGUGGGCACUCGAAUGUACCUUACUAGUGGGCCAUUUUUGGUACGAAAA
rnacentral:rRNA from 1 species